GAUGAACGCUGGCGGCGUGCCUAAUACAUGCAAGUCGAGCGAACGGACGAGAAGCUUGCUUCUCUGAUGUUAGCGGCGGACGGGUGAGUAACACGUGGAUAACCUACCUAUAAGACUGGGAUAACUUCGGGAAACCGGAGCUAAUACCGGAUAAUAUUUUGAACCGCAUGGUUCAAAAGUGAAAGACGGUCUUGCUGUCACUUAUAGAUGGAUCCGCGCUGCAUUAGCUAGUUGGUAAGGUAACGGCUUACCAAGGCAACGAUGCAUAGCCGACUUGAGAGGGUGAUCGGCCACACUGGAACUGAGACACGGUCCAGACUCCUACGGGAGGCAGCAGUAGGGAAUCUUCCGCAAUGGGCGAAAGCCUGACGGAGCAACGCCGCGUGAGUGAUGAAGGUCUUCGGAUCGUAAAACUCUGUUAUUAGGGAAGAACAUAUGUGUAAGUAACUGUGCACAUCUUGACGGUACCUAAUCAGAAAGCCACGGCUAACUACGCG
rnacentral:rRNA from 1 species